rnacentral:rRNA from 1 species
AGCUUGCUACUCUGCUGACGAGCGGCGGACGGGUGAGUAAUGCUUGGGAAUGUACCUUAUGGUGGGGGACAACAGUUGGAAACGACUGCUAAUACCGCAUAAUGUCUUCGGACCAAAGCGGGGGACCUUCGGGCCUCGCGCCAUAAGAUCAGCCCAAGUGGGAUUAGCUAGUUGGUGAGGUAAUGGCUCACCAAGGCGACGAUCCCUAGCUGGUUUGAGAGGAUGAUCAGCCACACUGGGACUGAGACACGGCCCAGACUCCUACGGGAGGCAGCAGUGGGGAAUAUUGCACAAUGGGCGCAAGCCUGAUGCAGCCAUGCCGCGUGUGUGAAGAAGGCCUUCGGGUUGUAAAGCACUUUCAAUAAGGAGGAAAGG